ACCUAGUACAUGAAGGUGGUGCAUGAAGAUGAACCUAGUACAUGAAGGUGGUGCAUGAGGUAGCACAUGAAGGUGGUGCAUGAAGAUGAACCUAGUACACGAAGGUGGUGCAUGAGGUAGUACACGAAGGCGGUGCAUGAAGAUGAAGCUAGUACACGAAGGCGGUGCAUGAAGAUGAAGCUAGUACACGAAGGCGGUGCAUGAAGAUGAAGCUAGUACACGAAGGCGGUGCAUGAAGAUGAAGCUAGUACACGAAGGCGGUGCAUGAAGAUGAAGCUAGUACACGAAGGCGGUGCAUGAAGAUGAAGCUAGUACAUGAAGGCGGUGCAUGAAGAUGAAGCUAGUAAAUGAAGGCGGUGCAUGAAGAUGAAGCUAGUACACGAAGGCGGUGCAUGAAGAUGAAGCUAGUACACGAAGGCGGUGCAUGAAGAUGAAGCUAGUACAUGAAGGUGGUGCAUGAAGAUGAACCUAGUACAUGAAGCUAGAGCAUGAAGGUGGUGCAUGAAGGCGGUGCAUGAAGAUGAACCUAGUACAU